rnacentral:rRNA from 1 species
AACGAACGCUGGCGGCAUGCCUAACACAUGCAAGUCGAACGAGUCCUUCGGGUCUAGUGGCGCACGGGUGCGUAACGCGUGGGAAUCUACCCUUGGGUUCGGAAUAACAGUUAGAAAUGACUGCUAAUACCGGAUGAUGACGUAAGUCCAAAGAUUUAUCGCCAAAGGAUGAGCCGGCGUAAGAUUAGCUUGUUGGUGGGGUAAUGGCCUACCAAGGCGACGAUCUUUAGCUGGUCUGAGAGGAUGAUAAGCCACACUGGGACUGAGACACGGCCCAGACUCCUACGGGAGGCAGCAGUGGGGAAUAUUGGACAAUGGGCGAAAGCCUGAUCCAGCAAUGCCGCGUGAGUGAUGAAGGCCUUAGGGUUGUAAAGAUCUUUCAGGUGGGAAGAUAAUGACUGUACCACCAGAAGAAGCCCCGGCUAACUCCGUGCCAGCAGCCGCCGUAA